AGUCUAGUGGACUAUGCAGAAAUAAUUGUGGAAUUCAUCAUUGUUAAAGCCUAUAUCGCUUUAUAUAAUCUGGACUGUUGUUUUUACUAAGGCUUAGCAAACAAGGGGCAGCAUACGCUUUUUGCCCAUUUCUAUAACAAGAGUUAGGCCUAUAUCCUCACAUACCCCCUCAAUUCAAGCCCUGCUUUUAACCAUAAGACAUCUCAAUGAUUGUGUCUGUUAAACAGGUGAACUUGUGGUAAACUGGGAACUCUGGGGAAAGGACAAGGACAACACUAAAAGGGCACUGAACCCACACGUGGCGCCUCCACAAUACACUGAACCCACACAUGGCGCCUGCAUGAUACAACAUUAGAACACAAGUUGUACUAAUCAUUAAGGUGGUUGUCAGCAUGACUUUCAACUGCACAAUAUGCAUGAAUUCAAAACGUUCUGCUGAGUUGACCCUAGAAAUGUAGCCUAGAUAGUAUCACUUCUUUAUUUCCCUUGUGAAACAGGUUUUACUACCAGCAAGUAAAUACACUUCUAUCCACAGUUCUGUGGGUAACACAUUCACCCAAAAGCACCUUUUUACUGAAUUACUGUUGACACAUAAUUUACAGUUGACAGUCUUUUAACAUCCCCCACAAAACACAUAGUUAUAGUAUACGACUAGAUACAAAUCAUCGAACUGAACAAAUAAAAGAGCAAUAGACUUUUAAAACGUCCUCCUCCCUAACAUUCCCUGUUAUACAACUGUACAUGUUGGUUUCACUCUAAGCUGUAGGUCAAGGUUUCCUUCCUCAUAAAACCCCUCUCUUCCUGUUUUCUAUCUCUGCAAUCAAUGGACAAAUGUAUCUACAAUUAAAAUAAUCUAACAACAAUACAACUGUUUGCAGUUUAGCAGUAUUAUUAGGAUGAAUUUGUCAGACUACUCAGACAGAUAGUAAACAGAAUGUAAAUCUAAGCCUGCAAGCAUUGGGUACUUUCAAUUCUCUGCCUGUUUCAUUAAAAACACUGCAGGGACUUUCCUAGUCAAACUGGAUGGGUGAAAACAAAUACCAUAAUGCUUUCCCCUGUCUCCUGUUCAGAUGAGUGACAAUGAAAGAAAGGAGAUAGAGGAAGCCCCUGUAGACUAUUGAGGUGCACCCCUACAGUAGGCUGUGGCUGCCUUGUUAUCAGUCCUGUAUUUCUCUCCCUCAGAAUUAGGAGACCAAGGAGCUGCUCUCACUUAUGACUCCACUGAUGAAGAAACAAAGCCGCUUGAUGACAUUGGAUCCUCCUCAAGAGGUCAAAGGGCAGACUGUAACCUCUCAGGCAGUAACAUCCCAGUCUGCUUCAGUGGCCCAGAAAUCAGGAGCAAACCCAGACUCAGAGCUGGAUAGUGAUGAUUCGCUCACCCCCUGCGAUAUCAGCUGAACAGGAAUGAGGCAAGCCGCCUCGUUACCCCGAGACUGUCUGGAGGCCUUCCUCUCCUCUGAGGACCCAGCGAGGGUGGAGCACAGUGAGACACUUCUACAGCCAGAGAGGUGAGAGGUCACAUGGUUUAGAUGGUAAAUAUUUAUAUCACGUAAGCAAAAGGGAAUAUGUUCCAUCAUCUAUGUUGAUUUACUUAUUUACUGAAUUUGUACCGUUUUUCAUUCUAAGAUGGACCAAGAUGUACGUAGCUUUUGCAGAUAUUUGUUCAUUAGUUUUGCAAGAGUGUUGAUUGGUCGAUCAUUGGGUUCAAUACUUUUGCAAUAUAUUGAUGCCAUUGAUUAAAAGAGUAAGAAUUUGAUGCAAUAUCCAACCCAAAAUAUA